CUCCUCCAAAUCUGAAGGUGGACAAGGUAGACUGAAUCCUCUCUCUCUAUUUGGGGCCCCGACAUGAAAGCGAUACUACAUUACCAAUGUGACAGGUAUGAAAAUUACUCCAUGUCACGUGACGCCGCCUUUUCUUCCUGGAGCCUGUGAGGGAAAGGAAGGGAGGCUCAUCACCUUACAGUCGAGUCCUGAGAUACCGUCUCUGAUCUGCUAGCAGGGUUGGAGCGGGGGUCAGAGGGCAGAAGCAACAAGAGAAACAAGGUGACUUCAUCUUUUUUGGGGGGGUCAAUAGUGAAGCAGGAAAGUCAAUAGUGUUUUUCCCUGGCAGGUCACCCGUGCUACAAGUCAGUUUUCGACAUCCACCCAUGACUGAGGACUUGGAAACCAUCCACUAGGCGCAACAGUCAGCACUGGAACCUUGAAGUAGGUUUUGGUUUUGCUCGGGCGUUGUGGACAGGGAUGGUGGAUGGGUGCAAACCCAGGGAAAAUUAAACAAGCACUUUCUGGUCAUUAAUCUGGAUAUGUGCGCCCGCCUUUGACGGCCAACGAUGAUGAGUGGCCAACGAUGAUGAGUGGCCAACGAUGAUGAGUGGCCAACGAUGAUGAGUGGCCAACGAUGAUGAGUGGCCAAC
ensembl:lncRNA